CUGGUCUGCUGAGGAGUCACAGGAGCAGAAGCACUUUGUAGCAGCACCUUACCAUCCCCCAGUAUGAGGUUAAACAAGUCAUCGGCUUUUCCCCCCAAGGACCUCUUUUCAAGGCCAAAUUCUAUCCUCCUGUAUACCUCUUCAUCCAGUGAAGUUCUCAGGUUUGAUGAAAAUGAAAAGUAGAGACAGCAAUGAGACCUAAUGCCAGUGCUCUUCAAAAGACAAAGCACUUCUACAAAAUCCAUGGCAUGACCAGCUAAGCAAGACACUGUCCAGAAGAAAAAAGGAAGUGGAAAAAGGAAAGGAAAAUAAAACUGUGGACUUCUUGUCUGCUAGAUGGAUACCAAGAAACCUAACAGUGAGUGCAGGAGAUACGACAUACAGAGCAAGAAGAGAAAAGUUAACAGACCCAUUGCCUUCUUCAGAGACACCUACAAGUCACAAUAGGUUCUCAGAAGAAUAAAAUCCAAAUUUUUAUCUUAACUGUCAUUUUGCUCCAAUGAAACCUGUGACCCUCCUGUCAAUCUCCACAAGUGAAAUCUUAUAUAAUGAAAAAUAAUAUAAUAAAAUCUGAUUUGAAAAGGCAAA